CCUACGGGUGGCAGCAGUGAGGAAUAUUGGUCAAUGGCCGAGAGGCUGAACCAGCCAAGUCGCGUGAGGGAAGACGGCCCUACGGGUUGUAAACCUCUUUUGUCGGGGAGCAAAGCGAGUCACGUGUGACUCAUUGAGAGUACCCGAAGAAAAAGCAUCGGCUAACUCCGUGCCAGCAGCCGCGGUAAUACGGAGGAUGCGAGCGUUAUCCGGAUGUAUUGGGUUUAAAGGGUGCGCAGGCGGAGGUGCAAGUCAGCGGUCAAAUCGCGGGGCUCAACCCCGGACUGCCGUUGAAACUGCAGCCCUUGAGUGCGCGAGAAGUAGGCGGAAUGCGUGGUGUAGCGGUGAAAUGCAUAGAUAUCACGCAGAACUCCGAUUGCGAAGGCAGCAUACCGGCGCGCAACUGACGCUCAUGCACGAAAGCGUGGGUAUCGAACAGGAUUAGAUACCCGUGUAGUC
rnacentral:rRNA from 1 species